ncrna:unclassified sequences Mu-gpT-DE RNA
CCCUGACAGGCGCAUACCGUGCCUGACACUAGCCACGACAGGAGAUAACAAUG